rnacentral:lncRNA from 1 species
CACCGACGAGUGAAUUUUGAUGAUUUCUACCACCCGUCAGAAUCUUGUGGCGAGCCCAACAAGCUCUCCCACACCUUUGGUGAACUCGAGCUAGAUGGAGAGGAGCUUGGGCUAGAUGAGUUCGGAUUGGACUCAUCCUCCUUUUGCAGUUUGGCUAGAGUCCUAGUCGACUGGGGUUGCCCAAUGCAAGCUAUCGCCACCACCUCGACCGCACCAC